rnacentral:tRNA from 1 species
UCCUGGUUAGCUAUGUUGGUAGAGCUCUCCCCUGGAAAUGGAGAGGUCCCUGGUUUUAUACCAAAACCAGGAG